CUCCCUCUCUUCCACUUUUCCCUCAUCUUCCAUCGAGAAAUCCUCCCAGGGCCGUUGGAGCGUCAUCGUCCAUCGACCAUCACCUUUAAACGGAAGGCCCUGUGUUCCGUUUCACCUCCACUGAGAAAUUAUGUCAUAUGUAGGGCCUUCUAGUUCUGCCCCCAGGAAGCACCACAAGGAUAAAAGUUUCAACCAGUCCAAUUGGAGAGAUUACUGGAGAUAACAAAAAUCAAUUCACCUCAUUUCUAGGAAAUGUGCUCAGGACUCAUUGUUCAAUUGCAUACAAAGACUGGCGGCUUAUGCCAGAUACCAUCAAGGAUAAUGUUUGGUCAACUGUUUUGGCCAAAUAUGAUGUUGACGACAGUGACAACUGUAAAAGUGCCAUAAUUAAGCAUGCUAAUGAUAUAUGGAAGGACUGGAAGAACCGAUUACGAGGAAGUGUCCUGGAUAUGUAUGAUAAUGAUGGAGAUAAAAAAUUUGCCCUAAUGGUGUCAAGCUAGAAGAUUGGGUCAAAUUCGUUGAUUACGAAUCUACAUAAGAGGCGAAGUCUCGUUGUGGAAAGGGAAAGGAAUUCAGAAGAUAGAUGAAGUUCCCUCACACGACUGGUCGACAGGGGUCUGCUAGGAUGGCAGAGUUGAUUGUAAGUUUUUAACAUAAUUUUAAUUUCUUUUAAUCCAAUUUAAGAAUACAAAAUAAUUAACA